rnacentral:rRNA from 1 species
GUGGGGAAUCUUGCGCAAUGGGCGAAAGCCUGACGCAGCCAUGCCGCGUGAAUGAUGAAGGUCUUAGGAUUGUAAAAUUCUUUCACCGGGGACGAUAAUGACGGUACCCGGAGAAGAAGCUCCGGCUAACUUCGUGCCAGCAGCCGCGGUAAUACGAAGGGGGCUAGCGUUGCUCGGAAUUACUGGGCGUAAAGGGCGCGUAGGCGGACAGCUUAGUCAGAGGUGAAAGCCCAGGGCUCAACCUUGGAAUUGCCUUUGAUACUGGCUGUCUUGAGUUUGGGAGAGGUGAGUGGAACUCCGAGUGUAGAGGUGAAAUUCGUAGAUAUUCGGAAGAACACCAGUGGCGAAGGCGACUCACUGGCCCAAUACUGACGCUCAUGUGCGAAAGCUAGGGCAGCGAACGGGAUUAGAAACCCUAGUAGUCC